AUUGAACGCUGGCGGCAUGCUUUACACAUGCAAGUCGAACGAGUGGCGGACGGGUGAGUAAUGUAUCGGAACCUGCCCAGUAGAGGGGGAUAACUACUCGAAAGAGUGGCUAAUACCGCAUACUAUUAGAGCGGCCGAUAUCGGAUUAGCUAGUUGGUGGGGUAACGGCUCACCAAGGCGACGAUCCGUAGCUGGUUUGAGAGGACGACCAGCCACACUGGGACUGAGACACGGCCCAGACUCCUACGGGAGGCAGCAGUGGGGAAUAUUGGACAAGGGGGGAAACCCUGAUGCAGCCAUGCCGCGGGUAUGAGAAGGCCUUCGGGUUGUAAAGUACUUUUGGCAGGGAGGCGGUACCGGCAGAAUAAGCACCGGCUAACUACGUGCCAGCAGCCGCGGUAAUAC
rnacentral:rRNA from 1 species